UAUGGCUCAGCUGUGAGGGGGGAGUCUGCUCUGGGGUCAGGAGGAGGGGUCGUGUUGAGGCAGACAUACUCUGAAUGCUGGAAACCUCAGGUAUAGCAGGUGACUUCUGGAAGUUAAAGAAUGGUUACAUUUAUACCUUAGUGGCACCUCUGGAAGCAGUGUGUGUCAGGAAUAAUGUCAGUUUGGAGCUGCUUACCUGCAAUUUGGCAGUAGAGGCUUUAUUGCUGAUGAGCUGUAUUUCAAAUCCAAGAGGUCUCCUUUACCAGUAAACGCUUGCAUCACAUGUCUUUGAAUGAGGACUCACAUCUCCGGAGAAGGCUGGGAACUUAGGGUUCUGCCUUAUCACCUUACUCAACAUCUCACUGCAGGAGCCCGUAAGAUUUGAGAAGAACUAGAAUGAUUGGAAACAAAAAAAACCCAAACACAAACCCAACCCCCCAAGCAAUCGUUGGAAGGCGGUAAUAUGAAACUGAAAUGAAGGGGAAAACAACCUGGCGUUCUUUUUACCGUGCAUUCACUGAAAUUUCUAAACAAGCAGAAACAAACUGCCAAGAUGCUCCUAAAUGGUAAACACUCUGCUUCUAUUGUGAAAAGCUUAACUACAGUAUUUAAUU